UACGGGGGGGGCAAGCGUUGUUCGGAAUUACUGGGCGUAAAGGGCUCGUAGGUGGCCAACUAAGUCGGACGUGAAAUCCCUCAGCUUAACUGGGGAACUGCGUCCGAUACUGGAUGGCUCGAGUUUGGGAGAGGGAUGCGGAAUUCCAGGUGUAGCGGUGAAAUGCGCAGAUAUCAGGAGGAACACCGGUGGCGAAGGCGGGUCUCUGGGCCGAUACUGACGCUGAGGAGCGAAAGCGUGGGGAGCGAACAGG
rnacentral:rRNA from 1 species